UGGCUUAGUGGGAAGCCUGCUUCUCCCUCUCCCAUACCCCCUGCUUAUGUUGCCUCUCCCACUGUCUGUCAAUUAAAUAAAUAAAAUCUUAAAAUAAAAUAAAAAUAAA